rnacentral:lncRNA from 1 species
UUUACAUUCCAGAAAGAAACAAUCAAUUGUCACCAAAAGCAAUUAAUUAUCAACUUUUUAAUUAACAUUCUCUACAAUUGGUUCUUAACAUGUCCAAUUUUCUAUAUUGAUAUCCUAGGUAUUAUUAAUAAAUUUCAGGAAUAAAAUACAUAGAAAUAAUAAUUCAAACUCAUCGAUAAAAGAUACUGUUCUCCUAGAAAGCACGGAAACGUACUGAAUGUAAUAAACUGUUGGUACUUGGGGAAAUACGUCUUCCGCAUAAUCGCUACUUUUGGAAUACAAGAACUAUUAAAGUUUCCUUAAUCCAGCUAUGUGUUGUUAACAAGAAAGAGAAUUCUUUAAAACUGACCAUAGCUACGUGACAGGUACAGGUAUAUGAAUUUACGAUAGCUGGUUUUCCCCAAGUACUACACUUUCUAUGUUUAGUUCAGUUAAAUAUUCGACCGUUCAAAAAGUUUUAGUUAACCUCAAUAAGUUUUUCGCUAACUAAUCAACCUACAAAUACAAGCAGGGAGAUGAUAAUUGAAAUUAAAAAGGCGAGAUAUAAUCACAUGAAUUGUUGUAUAGAUUAUGUUCAAAGGAGAAAAUUAUCAAUAUAUGUUUAAAGUGAUGUGAGAUUAUUACUACACGAAAUUUGGCGAUAAAAGAGGUAUGUAAUGAAUAGUAUGUUAUGAGAGGUAAUAACGAUUAGACGAAUUUUCUAUACAUCAUAUUUAAUGGAAUAAUUUAAUAAAUAUAACGAUAAUUAAUAGAUGCUUCGAUGAACUCGUUAAGUGAUUAAUCAAUCUCAAUUGACAGAUUGAUUAAUUAGAUUAAAUGAUCCAAUGAAUUUUUGUAUAGGUUAUGUUUAACAGAAGGUUGCGAAAUUGUUGAACAUACUGUUAAAUUAUUUUCACGAUAUUUGGCAACGCAAGAGAUAAUAAGUAGCGCGUUAUGGGAGUCAUGAUGACGAUCAGGGUGGUCCUCUCUCACGGUUCGAGAAACCGCGUUCUGGAACCGAUGUAUACACGGUGCACGCGUCGUCAACGGGGACGUCUACGUCGCGUCGUGGAUGCCGCGCUGCCAGAAAGAAAGUCGACUCGAAAAUCAAACAAACAGCCGACGACGCCGCGUUUCUGCACUUCCGUCGUCGCCGUUUGUUUAUUGUCGCUGAGGGAUCGCUGCCCUGGUGAUCCGUGUACCGUUUAAUGCCGCGUUUCACACAUUAUGUAAUUGUUUCACGCGCCAGUUACAUCCAAAAUCAUUUAUUCAAUUGAAACAGUUAUCUUCGAUAAUGUUAACGGUAUUAUCUUCUUUGAAUCAUCUUCUACUUAAUCCCGUUCUUCUUUAUUAUUAUUAACGAAGAAAAUUAAUAAUAGUAUAGCUCGAUGAAGUUUGAUAAGGAUGGAACAGAUUUCACGAGAUUUGCUUCGUAUGUUAAAUUUUGAAUCUGUUUUUAGAAAGAUAAUAUCGAUGGAAGAAUUCGAUAAGCAAGUAUUUUUUAAAGAAGAUGGUAAAAAAGCGAAGAAGAGAUUAGGCUGUAAAGAGAAGAAAUCGUGAAACGUCGAUUCUUUACAGCCCUGUAAGACGGACCUAAUGAAACGUAAUUCAUUCCCAUGCACCUUGAGGAGACAUCGUCUGGCGAACACAUGUCCCCAUUGGAUUUUAUCCAUUAGGAAAAAGUGCGCCCUUCGUCGCAUGACAUUGGCCGCCGUCGAACAUUGAAACUCGAACUCGCUAAUUCUCCAGAUGCUGGCUCGACUCAAAGGGUUAUUAAACAUAUUUUUAUGUUCGUGUCAAUGGAAAUAUUUAGACCCCCAGGGCGCCAUCUCAGCGUCAAGUGAGACUAAAAUUAUAUAUCUUAAUUUAAUUAGUAGCAACCUGUACAAUAUACUAUACUACAAUAUUACCUAUUUUGUAAUGAGAAUUUGUUAAGAAAGAGAUUCAACAAUUCAAAAGCAUUUUCCUAUAAAUAGAUGAGUAUUAUUAAUAAUAUAAUGAAGAAUAUUUAUGUAAUCUUUCGUGUAUUUGUUAAUGGAAUAUAAAUCUAAUUUUUAACAGAGUUAUCCUGCUACGGAGAAAAUGGAUAGCCGUCGGCUAGACAAAUUGAGGAAAACAGUUGUCUGAUAGUCACAUCUGUUGCCGGAUUAUGAGCACGAUAAAUUUCAGCCUGUGAAGCUAACAGCCGGAUUAGCGAGCGUUGUCGCGGUGUCAACGAGAGUCAAGUAUAAGAAGUACGAUCUUUUGAGAACGUCGAUGUCGCAAGAAGACCGGAAAUGAAAGAAAACAGUGGGUACUGUUCGCAAACAGAGAAGCUCGUCAAGAGUCCCUGGACUUAUUGUCUUCGUUGUUCUGCCACGGCUACCUAACGUGCAUGUGCGGAUUCUACGAUUUUUUUGAAUCGAACAAGAGGUCAGAGGUGACCACUGAAUGGACUCCGGAUUGAAUUUCCGAAUCAACGUCUUCGAGGAGGUAUUAGCCCCACGUGAAUACCGUGGUCCCCGAUGUCGAGGUCGUGAAUUGGAAAAAAAGGGCCUCACGGAUCGUUGUGGCCUGGUUGGGCCUCUGGAAUCCUCAGUGGGGGUCCCACGGAUGGGUUCUUUCGUUUUUCUUUCGAUCCCGGAGGAAUCAUUGUCGUUUCCUCCACUCAACGCUUUCUUUCAACGUUUUCUCAUAUCUCCAGUCUUUUUCAUAUCGAGCAAGUAUUUCCUAACAUAAUUGAUUAACAAUUGCUAUAACCUACAUAUAUCUAAUACAGGGUGAACGAUAUAUAGCUGACUAAUUUCAAAGUCCCAUCAUUCCGGAACGAUGUAUCAUUUUUUGUGCCGCACUAGAAAUUAUGUUAUGGAUGCAUGGCAAAGUAAACAAGAAGCCAUCCAUCAAGGAUGUACACAGUUCUGAUGACAUCACACUUGAUAUAUUGGAAACAAAUAUGAAGUGGCAUAGCAAUUUUACGAAACGAAUUUAUAUUUAAUAAAAGCAAUGAAGAAAUGUAUAUAAUAUAUAUAUAUAUAUAUAUAUAGAAUAGGCUUCUAUUAUAGUGAAAAAAUGUUUAAUAUAAAAGUUACUAAAAUUUAUGCUGUAUCAGUUUUAAACAUUCUUUUGUCCAUUACUAUAUCUAUUAAGUAUCUAAUCAUUGUUCUUUCCAUUCUAAUGUUUUUUAAUUGUAGCAUAAUUGAACUUCAAAGUAAAGAAGAAAAGUAGGAGCAACGUGGUAAUGAAAAAAAAAAGAAAAACCAGGAAAUUUGAAACUAGUGAUCCAUUAUGCAGCAAAGAUAUGUAUGUAAUUUGAAGUAAAGUAAAUAAUAAUAGAGAGGAGGGCAAUGUUUUUUAAACUGCAGCAGAGCUAAGCUGAAAAAAGAAGAAAAGUAGAAGUAACACGGCAGCGAAGUAAAAAAAGAAGAAAGUUGAGAAAAAAAUGUUGAAAGUUGAAACUAAUGGCGGAGUCGAGGCUACUAAUUGCCAUGGAAAUUUCGCAGCGUCUGGUGAAUUCGUUCAGGAGGUCCCGUGGCACAGUCGAGGUCGGGAGUUGAAUCUAAAUGAUCCUGGUUCUCGGAAGGAGAGGACCAUCAGGACACGCGACACUUCCCAAGUCGAAGGAAGCGUGCCCUUUCUUAUUUUUUCCUCCUCUUUGGAACCCUGUGGUUGCUACGGGCCCCUGGAAUCAUCCUGGUGAAAGAUUCAUCGUUGCUGUUUCAGCAGACUCUAUAUAUGUUACCAACUAAUGCAAUUUGUAGAUCUUUGAUAAAAAAAGGAGAAAACCAGUCUCCAGGGAUGAAUUUUACAAUAGAAAUGACAUAAGAAACAAAAUCAAUAACAUAAGCAAAUUAUCAAGUCAGCUACUGAUAAUAUCAAUUUUGAUUUAUAAGAAGAUAAAAAGAAGAUAUAUGUAUUGUGUGUGGAGAAAACCACUGACGCCAUUUUCUUUGGGAUCCCCUUUAUUUUGUCCGGACCAAUUGUAGACGAGUCUCACCUGUACAUUACCUCUCACCUGUGCUUUAGUCUCCUAUUGGAGGAUUGAGGGCAGGUAACAGGCAAGUGUCCCUACCAAGCUGUAAUGGAGCUACUGGUACAAAAUGAAUCCUCUUUAGGAAGAGGAAACUAUUCUGUUUUAUUUUCAAACGUAAAUUAUCAAUUUUUACUAAUUUAUGUAAUGUUUCAUUAAAUAUUUAAUUAUUUUUCUAGCAGAUAAAAUUUCUUGAAUUAAAAGAAGCGUGGAUUUAUCAAAAUUGAUGUAAGCUAGUGGUUUUUCCGUAUUGGAAACUGGAUAUAUAUGUAUAGGACAUUUGUGACCAGGUGUGACAGACGUUUGCACUUGCAUUCGUGACGGUGUACACGCCAUGGACACGGCCGGCUGCUAGGUUUCGUCGAAACAGCUGGUGUCUGAUGUUGUCCCUACCCGAUGUCAGACUUGGAGCUAUUAAAAUUCAGCGAAAUCCAUCGCACCAACUCAGAACUAGCCGUAGCUCUUACUACAUACUAUAUAAUAUUACAAUAUUUUAUGGUGGAUGAAAGGGAAGAAACAUUACUAAAAUUUCUUCAAUGAAUGUUCCAAGAAGGCUCUACUUCUUUGUCACAGUCUGAUGAGGACUUUCAGGAACCUGAUCCAGUUGAUCAUAGUAAUGCGAUUGGACACCAAUGAGAUUCGAUCAACGAAGCUAAUCCAGCCUUCGCGUUUGGAUAGUGAUGUGACGGCUUCAACUAGAGCAACAAUCUCGACUAUCAGAAAUCUUUCGACCGUUCUGAAAUAAACCAGGAGAGCACGUCGGGGCUUCCCAUUCGCCUUCGAAAAUGUGUUUACACGGCACUAUACACUUCACCGGAAUAAUUCUCGAUGUCUUUUUGCUCCGUACGAAAACGAACGAGUUUUCCUUGGCGCCUGUAUUGUGAGGUCCGCGAUUUCGCGGUAUCGCCUGAGUAAAUUCCAUCCAUCGGCGGGGGUGGCGGCUGUUACAAUUUACUGUUUCCACGUUCCGAUCUAUUUUAAUUAUUGCUGGCGAGCUUAGUCGCGAAAAAUUCCAUAAAUCUUCGUCUCCUGCGGUAAUUAGCGGGAAUACUUUCGACCAGCGGGCAUAAAUCCCGCAAUUCCUUCCAGGAACCUCGGAACAUUGACGACACGAGGUGCAACACAGAUCCAGUGUCUCUCAAGUAACCGAAUUUUUCAAAUUGAAGUGACUGAAAGUUCAUUUCUGAAUGUUUUACGCGAUAAUUGUUGAAGAAGAAAGAGGAAGGAAAAUUAUAGAGUGGCUGAAAAAUGGUCAGAAAUUGAUUUAAAAUCUUGUUCGAAUUUUUUAAAUAAUAAUUGAAGAAGAAAGGAGAAGAGAAUGGGAAUUGGCAAUCAGUAUCGGUUAUUUAUCAUAAUGCAAACUUAAUAUAAUAUUAAUUUAAUAUAAU